rnacentral:rRNA from 1 species
GACGAACGCUGGCGGCGUGCCUAAUACAUGCAAGUCGAGCGGAAAGACGAGGAGCUUGCGGGGUGGACGAGAGGGGCGGGGGGGAGAGAAACGCGUGGAAAACGUACCUGUAAGAGGGGGAAAAUUAGGGGAAAGGGGAGAAAAUAGCGGAUAAGAUCUUGAAGCGCAGGGGGGAAAAGUGAAAGACGGUGGUGGGGGCAGUAAUAGAUGGAUCCGCGCUGGAUUGGCUAGUUGGUAAGGUAACGGCUUACCAAGGCAACGAUGCAUAGCCGACCUGAGAGGGUGAUCGGCCACCCUGGAACUGAGACACGCUCCAGACUCCUACGGGAGGCAGCAGUCGGGAAUCUUCCGCAAUGGGCGAAAGCCUGACGGAGCAACGCCGCGUGAGUUAUGAAGGUCUUCGGAUCGUAAAACUCUGUUAUUAGGGAAGAACAUAUGUGUAAGUAACUGUGCACAUCUUGACGGUACCUAAUCAGAAAGCCACGGCUAACUACGUG